AGCUCCAAUAGCGUAUGCUAAAGUUGUUGCAGUUAAAAGGCUCGUAGUCGAACUUAUGACCCUGUGAACCUGGCCCAUCCUCUAGUGGGUUGCGCGCCGGUGUGCACGGGUCAUUCUUCCACAGAUCAUUUCUGCCCUUGAUUGGGUUUGAUAUGUAAUGCGGAUCACUUACUGUGAGUAAAUCAAAGUGUUCAAAGCAGGCUUCAACGCUUGUAUGGUUCAGCAUGGAAUAAUAAGAUAAGACUUCGGUUUUGUUUUGUUGGCUAUAGAACCAAAGUAAUGAUUGAAAGGGAUAGUUGGGGGUGCUAGUAUUUUAUGGUCAGCGGUGAAAUGCGAGGACCCAUGAAAGACUAACUUAUGCGAAAGCAUUCACCAAGGAUAUCUUCUUUGAUCAAGAACG
rnacentral:rRNA from 1 species